CGGACAGUGUCUGGUGGGUAGUUUGACUGGGGCGGUCUCCUCCUAAAGAGUAACGGAGGAGCACGAAGGUUGGCUAAUCCUGGUCGGACAUCAGGAGGUUAGUGCAAUGGCAUAAGCCAGCUUGACUGCGAGCGUGACGGCGCGAGCAGGUGCGAAAGCAGGUCAUAGUGAUCCGGUGGUUCUGAAUGGAAGGGCCAUCGCUCAACGGAUAAAAGGUACUCCGGGGAUAACAGGCUGAUACCGCCCAAGAGUUCAUAUCGACGGCGGUGUUUGGCACCUCGAUGUCGGCUCAUCACAUCCUGGGGCUGAAGUAGGUCCCAAGGGUAUGGCUGUUCGCCAUUUAAAGUGGUACGCGAGCUGGGUUUAGAACGUCGUGAGACAGUUCGGUCCCUAUCUGCCGUGGGCGCUGGAGAACUGAGGGGGGCUGCUCCUAGUACGAGAGGACCGGAGUGGACGCAUCACUGGUGUUCGGGUUGUCAUGCCAAUGGCACUGCCCGGUAGCUAAAUGCGGAAGAGAUAAGUGCUGAAAGCAUCUAAGCACGAAACUUGCCCCGAGAUGAGUUCUCCCUGAGACUUAGAGUCUCCUGAAGGAACGUUGAAGACGACGACGUUGAUAGGCCGGGUGUGUAAGCGCAGCGAUGCGUUGAGCUAACCGGUACUAAUGAACCGUGAGGCUUAACCUUAC
rnacentral:rRNA from 2 species